CAGUGUUAGAGCCAGGAGUAGAACCCGGGUCUCCUGAGUUCCACUUCCAUGCUCUACCCACUAGAUGACACUGCUACCUCAGGUGACAGUCCUUGCCCUUCCAUCUUGGGCUUCUCAACUGAUUCUGUCAACAGAGGACCCAAAUGGCGCUUACUGUGCUAUUUGUGAUAUGGACAAACGCCAUAGGCCAUCCAAUGGUGACAUCUUUGGGAUGCUUGGCUUGCAUCAGACUUGAAGAAGCAACCUGGGCUUCCCUGUUACCAGUUGCUUACACCACACAGAUAACUUUCCCUUCUACAAAUAGCAAGGAGUAUAUAUUUGAAGGGGAAUAAAACCUCAUUAGGAAAUCAACUCCAGGGCACUUAGAGUCCUUUGUGACGCAGGCAACCCCGCUCAGAUUAAAAGCAAUAGGCAGUUCUCUUGUCUAUGACCCUGUUGAUUACCAAUGUUAUUGUGUCCACUCGUUAGAACAGAACAACGGAAGAUGUUGUCACACUGCGUUCACAUGGCACAUGCCCUGGUAAUUGCAUUUGCACUAAGUUUACCUGUGAUUGCUGGCUAUAUUCUUAAUGAACCCUGAAAUAAUCCUGUAUGUUAGUGUUUAGUUGUGAAUUAAUUUGAUAUUUUAAACUGCAUGCAAGCUAAUGUUCUUGGCUAUCACAUUGUUCCCGUGUAUCUAUACCCAUUUGCCUAAAGUUGCUCAGCAAGGAGGAACACUGACUUCAGAGUGGGGGUGGGAGAGUUGUGUGCUCAACAAAGGGAAAUCUACGGACACAUACUGAGCUAAAAAUAACACCGGGCAGGCUGUUUUCAGCUAUAAAUACUGGACCUUGGGAACGAUCCUGACAUCUCUUGAUCUUUGCAGAUACUGUCAGGGGGCUUUCCAGAUACAAGACAGAAUUCCCCAGAUCCACUUUGGGAAAACCCUGAGAAACUUAUGAAAAGACUCUCAGAGCCUGGCAGAUUGCUACAUCUCUGCUAGCAUUUGGACUACAUACUCUGAUCCAACUGUAAUGUAUUUUAUUGGCUUUAACCUUGCAAUAACUCUCAUUUAUUUUCCUUAGUUGAUAAAUCUUUAGUUAGUUACUAAGGAAUUGGCUACAGCGUUGUCUUUUGGUGAGAUCUGAAGUAUACUGUGACCUGGGUGCACAGCCCUGGCACCUUCUAAUCUCUGCAGAAACAGAGUUUCGGUCUUGCAAAGCUCCUAGGCCGAAACGAAGCUUCGUGAGUAGCCUAGUGCAUGGUGCCAAAAGUUGAACGGCGUCUGCAGCGGAUUUUCUGCGUAAUGGUGAAAAUAUCCUUGAAUGAUCUACUGGAGAAGAAUUUGCAUACACUAUGCUGUAUCUAUACAUGGGAAGGUAGAUGGUCUAAUGAUUAAAUAAUGACACCGAGAGUCACAGCAACCUUCCUCAGUCACUGACUUGCCAUAUGACCUUGAAGAAAGUUAGGCACCUACAUUGAAUUAGGAUUUUUAGAGAUGCAUGAUCCAGUCUAUGUGAAGAGUCCCAUCUUCUGGAUAUCAGACAAUAAUAUGCAAAAGAAGAGAAGAAAAUUUUAAGGAAGGCUUUGUAAAUUACAGCCAAACCAUGACUUUGCAUCUUGAGGAAACAGACGAAAACCCAAAUAUCUGAACAACCAAGACAUGCAUCUGCCUAAAGCAUAUAAACUCAAAACCAUAUAUCUCUAACCCAGGUACCUCUGUCGUCUGCCCCUUCUAGGUGUAUAUUAUAUCCUCACUUGCCUGCCAUGCCUACCAUUUAGGUAGUAAGGCGAGGGUGGUGGCUUCACAGACUACUUUGCAGAAGGUGUUCCAUGCGUAUGGUGCGGCGUGGAAGAAAGCACAAAGGUGUUUGUGGGAGAAGCAGACAAAUGGGCAUUACUGAUGGAGUUGAGCAGGUACAGGAACAACUCACUAAGGGGCCCUGAUCCUCUCCCAUUGUCGUCAGUGGUUCAGGAUCAAGCCCUAAGAAUACAAGAGCAGGUAAGCAGGGAGGAUCAGAGGAGUGAAGAGACCCGAAGCUGCAAUGCUCACAUAGCCCGAAAGAAUUUGAUUGCGACCCCAAACCAGGCAAAACCGAGAAGUUUUGUUUGCAUUUUGCUUUAAGGGUUUGGGGAUCAUUGAAACCCCCAAAUCUGAAACAAACAAACAAUAAAAGUUUGAAAACUGAAACAAACAAACAAUAAAAGUCCAGGGCAAAGCCCUGUGAACCGAACCCAUGGAAUUUCAUGCAGAUCUGGUUAUUGCUGGGUUUUAAAAGAUUCUCUUUAACCAGGCCGUGUUCAGUGAUCAGGUGUCAAUGGGAUAAAAGGACCAGAUGUGGAAAUGGUAACAUAUUUUGCAGUGCACUGUCAAAGUGCUGUGCAGGGAAGAACAAAGGCAUAAUCCGAUGCUGAGACACGUCUGCUUUGUUUCCACUGUAAACAUUCUCCAGAGGAAGAAUCUAUUAGGGUGCAUUUAGUUCUAAGCGAGCAUUUUUAUGCAGUUGAAAGAAAUUGGCUUAUGCCAUUUGCCUACAGAAGACAACUGAUGCACUUGCUACUAAGAGACAUUUGAUUUCUCUGCUUGGCAACUUUAGUUCAUUUUACAGGCUGUUAAAAAUCUGAGGGACUGUAUAUCUCAGAGGACAUUUAAAAUGUAGCACGCUUAUUUUUAAACUAGAAGUGAGAUCUUUGGACGACAACUUGUCUGGAGCCACGCUGCUUCAAACUGUCACGGGAGAGUAUUUUUGUCCUUAUAGUAACUUAUAAUUAGGUUUCUUUUCAGCGUGAAACUCUCCAGAUCCACACUCAUGCCUAAGACCUGUCAAAAUACACGAGGGCUUGAUGGGAAUAAAUCCAAAGCAGCAUUGCACAGAAAGAGGUGUCACAGCUAGAGGUUUCUUUCUGUCUUUGAAUAAGGACAGAAACAAGAAAUUACUUUAGGGCCACACCUUGCAGUUGCCAGUUAGUCAACACCCUUGGAUGUCCAAUUAUGCCCAUUCCUAUCUAAGGGUAUGUCUACACUACGAGAGUAGUUCGAUUUUACUUAAAGCGAAUUUGUGGAACUUAUAUUACAAAGUCGAACGUGUGUAUCCACACUAAGGACAGUAAUUCGACUUUGUGAGUCCACACUAAUGGGGCUAGCGUCGACAUUGAAAGCGGUGCACAGUGGGCAGCUAUCCCACAGUUCCUGCAGUCCCCGCUGCCCAUUGGAAUUCUGGGUCGAGCCCCCAAUGCCUGCUGGGGCAAAAAAUGUGUCGAGGGUGGUUUGGGGAAACUGUUGACAU